CCAAUAGCGUAUAUUAAAGUUGUUGCAGUUAAAAAGCUCGUAGUUGAACUUCGGGGUUUGCUCAUUGGUCAGGCUUAAUUGUCUGUACUGGUGGGAUAAAUCUCUACCUUCUGAGGAACUUUCAUGCCAUUUAUUUGGUGUGAUGGGAAAUCAGGACUGUUACUUUGAAAAAAUUAGAGUGUUUAAAGCAGACUAACGUCUGAAUACAUUAGCAUGGAAUAAUGAAAUAGGACGGACUGAUUCUAUUUCGUUGGUUUCUAGGAUAACCGUAAUGAUUAAUAGGGAUAGUUGGGGGCAUUAGUAUUCAAUUGUCAGAGGUGAAAUUCUUGGAUUUAUUGAAGACUAACUACUGCGAAAGCAUUUGCCAAGGAUGUUUUCAUUAAUCAAGAACGAAAGUUAGGGGAUCGAAGACGAUCAGAUACCGUCGUAGUCUUAACCAUAAACUAUGCCGACUAGGGAUCGGACGAAGUUAAUUUUAUAAUGACGCGUUCGGCACCUUACG
rnacentral:rRNA from 1 species